AGAGUUUGAUCCUGGCUCAGAGCGAACGCUGGCGGCAUGCUUAACACAUGCAAGUCGCACGGGCAUUUCGGUGUCAGUGGCGGACGGGUGAGUAACGCGUAGGUAUCUAUCUCUGGGUGGGGGACAACUGCGGGAAACUGCAGCUAAUACCGCAUGAUGCCCGAGGGCCAAAGGCGCAAGUCGCCUGGAGAGGAGCCUGCGUACGAUUAGCUUGUUGGUGGGGUAAAGGCCUACCAAGGCGACGAUCGUUAGCUGGUCUGAGAGGAUGAUCAGCCACAUUGGGACUGAGACACGGCCCAAACUCCUACGGGAGGCAGCAGUGGGGAAUAUUGGACAAUGGGCGAAAGCCUGAUCCAGCAAUGCCGCGUGUGUGAAGAAGGUCUUCGGAUUGUAAAGCACUUUCGACAGGGACGAUGAUGACGGUACCUGUAGAAGAAGCCCCGGCUAACUUCGUGCCAGCAGCCGCGGUAAUACGAAGGGGGCUAGCGUUGCUCGGAAUGACUGGGCGUAAAGGGCGCGUAGGCGGAUGGCACAGUCAGAUGUGAAAUUCCCGGGCUUAACCUGGGGGCUGCAUUUGAUACGUGUGAUCUAGAGUGAGGAAGAGGGUCGUGGAAUUCCCAGUGUAG
rnacentral:rRNA from 1 species